CAGUAGCCACGGUAAUACGGAGGGUGCAAGCGUUACUCGGAAUUACUGGGCGUAAAGCGUGCGUAGGUGGUGGUUUAAGUCCGUUGUGAAAGCCCUGGGCUCAACCUGGGAAUUGCAGUGGAUACUGGGUCACUAGAGUGUGGUAGAGGAUAGUGGAAUUUCCGGUGUAGCAGUGAAAUGCGUAGAGAUCGGAAGGAUCAUCUGUGGCGAAGGCGACUAUCUGGGCCAACACUGACACUGAGGCACGAAAGCGUGGGGAGCAAACAGGAUUAGAUACCCCGGUAGUCCCUGUCUCUUAUAC
rnacentral:rRNA from 1 species